rnacentral:misc_RNA from 1 species
GUUCUGUUUGGUUUCUGAGAAAACAGAGGAAAAUUAGAAGAACAGUUGUCUUUCUUUUUUUCUUUUUGUUAGUUUUACUGUUUUUGGGGUUUGAGUAAUGCGUUGGAAAUGCUAAGUUUAGCUAAAUGAUCUUUAUUAGAUCUCACCUUACUUAGAUGGUUAAUUUUUGGAAACGGCCUUGGAUUUCCGGGAAGUUUUUACUAUUUCUUUCCUUGCAAUUUCUUUCUCAGUAUCCAAACAGAUCUUCCGUGUUGAUAUGUGCUUAUAUGUACUCUCUAUGUGAUCUACUGCUGCUGUAUUUUUGGUAAAUUUUAAUGUUUGAAGUGUUUUUCCCCUUUUUUCUUUUAGUAUUUCUUUUGAUUGAUGAUGCUAUCACAUGUAUGUGUU